ensembl:snRNA U6 U6 spliceosomal RNA
CUGUGUUCGUCGCGCACACACUAACAUCGGAACGAUACGGAGAAGAUCAGCGCGGCCCCUGCGUGAGGGUGACACGCAGACUCGUGAAGUGUUCCUUGUUGGA